GAUGAACGCUGGCGGCGUGCCUAAUACAUGCAAGUCGAGCGAACGGACGAGAAGCUUGCUUUUCUGAUGUUAGCGGCGGACGGGUGAGUAACACGUGGAUAACCUACCUAUAAGACUGGGAUAACUUCGGGAAACCGGAGCUACUACCGGAUAAUAUUUUGAACCGCAUGGUUCAAAAGUGAAAGACGGUCUUCCUGUCACUUAUAGAUGGUUCCGCGCUGCAUUAGCUAGUUGGUAAGGUAACGGCUUACCAAGGCAACGAUGCAUAGCCGACCUGAGAGGGUGAUCGGCCACACUGGAACUGAGACACGGUCCAGACUCCUACGGGAGGCAGCAGUAGGGAAUCUUCCGCAAUGGGCGAAAGCCUGACGGAGCAACGCCGCGUGAGUGAUGAAGGUCUUCGGAUCGUAAAACUCUGUUAUUAGGGAAGAACAUAUGUGUAAGUAACUGUGCACAUCUUGACGGUACCUAAUCAGAAAGCCACGGCUAACUACGUG
rnacentral:rRNA from 1 species